rnacentral:rRNA from 1 species
UACGAAGGGGGCGAGCGUUGUUCGGAUUUACUGGGCGUAAAGGGCGCGCAGGCGGCGCAUUUUGUCAGGCGUGAAAGCCCCGGGCUUAACCUGGGAACUGCGUUUGAUACGGAUGGGCUAGAGUUCGGGAGAGGAGAGUGGAAUUCCCAGUGUAGAGGUGAAAUUCGUAGAUAUUGGGAAGAACACCAGUGGCGAAGGCGGCUUUCUGGACGGUAACUGACGCUGAGACGCGAAAGCGUGGGGAGCAAACAGG